rnacentral:rRNA from 1 species
CUCCUACGGGAGGCAGCAGCAGGGAAUAUUGCACAAUGGGCGAAAGCCUGAUGCAGCGACGCCGCGUGCGGGAUGAAGGCCUUCGGGUUGUAAACCGCUUUCAGGAGGGACGAAAAUGACGGUACCUCCAGAAGAAGCCCCGGCCAACUACGUGCCAGCAGCCGCGGUAACACGUAGGGGGCGAACGUUGUCCGGAUUUAUUGGGCGUAAAGGGCUCGUAGGCGGUUUAGCAAGUCGGUCGUGAAAGCCCGGGGCUCAACCCCGGGACGCCGGUCGAAACUGCUAUGACUAGGGUCCGGUAGAGGUGAGUGGAAUUCUCGGUGUAGCGGUGAAAUGCGCAGAUAUCGAGAGGAACACCAGUAGCGAAGGCGGCUCACUGGGCCGGUACCGACGCUGAGGAGCGAAAGCGUGGGGAGCAAACAGGAUUAGAUACCCUGGUAGUCCACGCCGUAAACGUUGAACACUAGGUGUGGGGGACUUAUCCACGUCCUCCGUGCCGCAGCUAACGCAUUAAGUGUUCCGCCUGGGGAGUACGGCCGCAAGGCUAAAACUCAAAGGAAUUGACGG